rnacentral:misc_RNA from 1 species
GAAAUAAACCUGAUGGGUUGUUGCUGGUUCUCUAGGGAGCAUGUGCACACCUUGUCAUCUUUAUAUCUCCACCUGUGCACCCUUUGUAGACCCUCACAGGUCUAUGUUGCUUCUUCAUUUGCCCCAAUGUAUGUCAAUAGAAUGUUUAUAUAAAAUCUAUACAACUUUCAGCAACGGAUCUCUUGGCUCU